GACGAACGCUGGCGGCGUGCUUAACACAUGCAAGUCGAACGGAAAGGCCCUGCUUUUGUGGGGUGCUCGAGUGGCGAACGGGUGAGUAACACGUGAGUAACCUGCCCUUGACUUUGGGAUAACUUCAGGAAACUGGGGAUAAUACCGGAUAGGAGCUCCUGCUGCAUGGUGGGGGUUGGAAAGUUUCGGCGGUUGGGGAUGGACUCGCGGCUUAUCAGCUUGUUGGUGGGGUAGUGGCUUACCAAGGCUUUGACGGGUAGCCGGCCUGGGAGGGUGACCGGCCACAUUGGGACUGGGAUACGGCCCGGACUCCUACGGGAGGCAGCAGUGGGGAAUAGUGCACAAUGGGCGGAAGCCGGAUGCAGCAACGCCGCGUGCGGGAUGACGGCCUUCGGGUUGUAAACCGCUUUCGCCUGUGACGAAGCGUGAGUGACGGUAAUGGGUAAAGAAGCACCGGCUAACUACGUG
rnacentral:rRNA from 1 species